GGGAUUGUAGCUCAGUGGUAGAGUACAUGCUUAACAUGCUUGAGACCCUGGGUUCAAUCCCAAGCAGUGCAA
rnacentral:tRNA from 1 species